rnacentral:rRNA from 1 species
GUCCUUUUGAAUUUAAUUUAAGGUCUAGCCUGCCCAGUGAAUAUUUUAACGGCCGCGGUAUACUGACCGUGCAAAGGUAGCAUAAUCAUUAGUCUUUUAAUAGAGGGCUGGAAUGAAAGGUUUCACGAGGAAUAAACUGUCUCAUUUUAUUUGUUUUAAAAUUUAAUUUUUUAGUUAAAAAGCUAAAAUAUUGUUGGAAGACGAGAAGACCCUAUAGAUCUUUAUAGGGACUUAUUUAAAUAUUUAUAUAUUAAUGUAUUUACAUGAUUCUCUAUUUUGUUGGGGUGACAAAAAUAUAUAAUUAACUUUUUUAUUUAAUUAACAUUGAUUAAUGAAUAUAUGAUCCACUAUUAGUGAUUAUUAGAUUAAGUUACCUUAGGGAUAACAGCGUAAUCCUCCUCCAGAGUUCAUAUUUACAGGAUGGGCUUGCGACCUCGAUGUUGGAUUAAGAUAAUAACUAGGUGUAGCCGCUUAGUUUAUAGGUCUGUUCGACCUUUAAAUUCUU